rnacentral:lncRNA from 1 species
GAUACCAAAAAGUCUAGGGCAACAGACUGUGAAAGGUCAUAUGAUUGUGAGAGGUGAAGCCGGCUGGGAUUCUGGGUCAGGUGGUGACUUGGAGAACUUUUCUGUCUAGCUAAAGGAUUGUAAACACACCAAUCAGCACUCUGUGUCUAGCUAAAGGAUUGUAAAUGCACCAAUCAGCACUUGUAAAAAUGCGCCAAUCAGCACUCUGUGUCUAGCUAAAGGUUUGUAAAUGCGCUAAUCAGCACUCUGUAAAAACAGACCAAUCAGCACUCUGUAAAACAGACCAAUCAGCGCUCUGUAAAAUGGACCAAUCAGCAGGAUGUGGGUGGGGCCAAAUAAGGGAAUAAAAGCUGGCCACCCGGGCCAGCAGCAGCAACCUGCUCAGGUCCCCUUCCAUGGUGUGGAAGCUUUGUUCUUUCGCUGUUCACAAUGAAUCUUGCUGCUGCUCACUCUUUGGGUCCGCACUAGCUUUAUGAGCUGUAACGCUCACUGCGAAGGUCUGUGGCUUCACUCCUGAAGUCAGCAAGACCACGAACCCACCGGAAGGAGGAAACAACUCCGGAAGCACCACGUUUAAGAGCUGUAACACUCACUGCGAAAGUCUGCAGCUUCACUCCUGAAGUCAGCAAGACCACAAACCCACCGGAAGGAAGAAAUUCCAGACACAUCUAAACAUUGGAAGGAACAAACUCCAGACACACUAUCUUUAAGAACUGUAACACUCACCGCGAGGGUCUGUGGCUUCAUGCUUGAAGUCAGCCGGACCAAGAACCCACCGGAAAGAACCAAUUCCUGACACAAUCGUUCUUCAUGGUCUAUGACUCCAAGGUCUGAAAUGAUCUCAUUUACCCCACAUGAUAGAUGUGGCCCUUCCAGAUGAGGAGUUCAACAAGACUACAUGGUAGAGCAGCCAGAGAACCCACUGGAAAUAAGGCUCAAAAUAAGGAGUAACCACAAAAUAAGAGACAGAGAAUGCUGAUUCACUAUGCAGUGAAACAUGCCUAACGUGUCAACAGCUAAAUGCCCGGUGACAGUGUGGUUGUCUGGGCAACAGAAGAAGUCACCCACGCAAACACUUAAAGGACCAUACUUAUUUUACAAGAGGAACAGUUUUCAAUGGAAUGGAUAUUAAAACACACACCUGGAUCCCUUUACCACAGGUGCUUUGAGAGGCACCAUCAAGGACAGUGAGCUAACGCAGGAGAAUGGAGUCCCAGAAACCUAGGAGGAGAAGACAAAGUGUCAGCCUCUCGGCAUCUGCAGUGUUGCUAGGAAAAGAGCUCUGAUCCCAGGGGCUUACCCACUUCCACAGGAUCAUCCUCUGCAUAUGAAGGAACAGACAAGCCCUCAGCUCUACCACUUUGGAGAGGGGGGGAUUGGACAGCAUGAGCCUUCAAUUGUAUCUCUUGGAUGACCAAGGAAGGCUGGAUUUCUGCACCUAAAAAAUGGAAGCACAAACUGUACAACAAAUACUCUCCAUUCAAGUUGAAGUUCUCAAAUAAGGUAUCCAAUUAACCAAUGUAUUAAUAACAUUGAAAAUAAUAAUCUCAUAGGAAGAUUCCAAAAAUUUCUGGUUUUAUAUCUAGCAAAAACUUCAUGCACUAUGUUUGAUUUGUAUGUAGAACUCAGGGUGAACAUGCCAGUGACAGUGGCAAUGAGAGGGGUAACUGGGGGCCAGAAGCAGGCUGAGGGAGAGGAGAGGAGGGGGCAGAGUGUGCUCAGGGAACCAUGAGCCAUGCAGGAUAAGCAAUAGGGCAGAAUAAACAGGACAUACCCAUCUGUUUAUUCUCUCUGUAUAAUGUUUUGAUUCUCUUUGUACCCUAACUAACCAAGGCACAGCUCAGGAAGUUGCUGCCAGGAUUAGAAAAAGGGAGUUGCACAUUCUCAAAAAGCAAUGGUACAGUGCAAAGAAUGGUAAUUAAUCCCCCAGCACACUUGACCCAGCCCCUAAAGAACUUUGUGACCUUGGGCCAGGCAGGCAGCUCCCAGGCUUCUGUUUUGUCAUUUUUGACCUCUUCUGGCUGCAGUGAUUCAUUUCCAGAUAUAGGUUGCUUCAGCUCAUCUCAAAGUCUUCUUGUAGCCUGUUCUUUGAGAAAUGGUAAUAUAUCUCUUGAAAAGUUUCUUUUUCUUGCAAAGUCACCCAAUUCAUGAGUUAAUGAGGUCCCACCAGUGAUACGAUUGCAGAGUCACAAAUAUCACUAACUGAAAGGAGUAGAAGGAAGGCGGGAAUUGCAGACACACCAUGAGUGGGUGGCCUCCAGGAGAUACACGUGAGACCAGCCCUGUGGUGGGCCAGGUCAGAAGGACUUCUGCUUAGACUAGGUGGAAACUUCUCAGCAUUCUGAGGAGUACCACCAUCUGACUGGCAGUUUGAAGGUAUCACUUGGGCUGCUGUAUCAAGAAUAGACUUCAGAAGACAAGUUGAACGUAGCAAGACCAGUGAGAAAGGUGUCAUAGCCGUCCAAGUGCAGGGUGGCAGUGGAGAUAGGAGUUAUAUUAAGGAGAGAGUCACCAGGAUUUGCUGAUGGGUUAGGUGUGGGCUGUGGAAGAAAGAUCAAAGUCAAGAAUGACUCCAAUGACAUUGUCCUAAGCAAUUGGAAUGAUGAAAUCACAGUUGUUGAGAUGGGGAACCUGCACAUGGAGUGAGUCUGGAGGAGAGAUUAGUUGUUUGGCUUUGGCCAUGCUGAGUUUCAGAUGUGUUUCGACACACAUGUGGAGGGGUUACGCUUGAAUGUCUGAGUCUGACUUUUGUAUUGAGAUGUUCCUAUCCUACUUCUUCCUACCUCCACCCUGCAAAGGAUGGCCAUGGUUAUCUUCAGUGCCCCCACAAAGCUCUGUGCAGAUUCCUGGUAUGUCACAUUUAUUUCAAAUGGCUUUACUGAGAUGUAAUUGAUAUAUAGUUCACCCAUUUAAAUUGGACAAUUGAAUGGUUUUUAGUAUAUUCACAGAGUUUUGAUCAUGUGUAACAUGGUCUAUUUUUAGAAUAUUUUUGUCACCCCUUCCCCUCUAAAAAACCUCAUAGCCAUUAGGAAACAUUCUCCAUUUCCUAGCAUGGUAUUUUAAAAUAGUGACAAUUCCUAUUUUCAAGUCUGUCAGUAAGCCUCUUAAUGGUAGGGACUUCCGUGUUAUUUGUUUUUGCAUUUCACCCUGUAACAAUUACUCAAAAAAGCUGUUGUAUGAAUGAACUACAGUUUGAAAAAUACGACCCCAAGACUGUGUGUCUUUAAGAGAGAACCAACCCUUUGCAUUCCGGUGCUCUUCGUAUGGCUGCCUGUAGCAUUUUUCAGAUCUAGUUGAGAAACCGAUGGGAGGAUAUGGAGAUAAGUCUCAUUACUCUUUUCUUUCUUGGCUAUACUUCUCUAGCAUCUGUUGUAAACAAAACAGAAAAGAGUCUUUCUAAACCUGGUGAAAAUAUCUCAAAUGCAAGGAAGCCAGUGAUGAAAAAUGCAAUAUCAAAGUUCGGGCUGUUACAAACACAUGGCAUAAAUCACAUCUGCUCAUUAAACUUAUUACAAAGAAUGAUAACAAAAGCAAAGAGAUGUCUGAAAAUGUCUUGGGAAAAAUAAAGUAGCUAAUAAAUUCGUGGUUUUACUGUUUUAUGUCAUAAGGAUGGAUAUAAUUUCAUUUGGGACAAAUGUUUCUGGACUCAGACUACAGACUACAGAUUUGGAGCUGAAGGCCACUACCAAGGCAAUCUCCUCUAACAUCUUCAUUUCAGAGCUGAUGAGCUAGAUAGUCAUGCCCUGUGACCUCUCAGCUGGUUAUGGCAGAGCUCGCCCAAGAGCAAGGGGCGUAAUAUAUUAAUUAGUUUAAACUGAUAUGCGUUAUGUACUAACAGGGUCUGGGCAGACCAGUAGCAUCUAAAUAUUAUUCUAAGAGUCAGAAGCUUUUUUUCCAAUAAAGCCUUAUGCUGAAAACAAUAAUUAUGGCAGAAUCCUUCUGAUGGAGCCUGGGGGGUGGACUGCUUUUUCCCUCUGCUGCUGCAGCCCUGACGUGGUUUAGUGUGUCCUGGGACUAUCCCUUUGACAUCCCUCCUCUGUAUUCUUCUGAAAUACAGGACCCAUCCACUGCAUAUAGUCACAAGUUUACUUGCUUCUCUUCCCUCCUAAACUGUGGAAUCUCUCAACAUAAUGAUUGUGUCUUACACAAAACUGCAUAUCUCAGUUUCUGAACUCAGGAAAUAUUAACUUUGUUCUUUGACUUGCCAGGUUCUUUUCAAGGUGUUGGUGACACAGAUAUGAGGAAAACAGAGUUGACUCAUGGUGAUGGAGCUUACAUUCUAUGGGGCAAGAGUGAGCAGAGG